rnacentral:rRNA from 1 species
UACGUAGGGGGCAAGCGUUGUCCGGAUUUAUUGGGCGUAAAGAGCGUGUAGGCGGCCAGGUAGGUCCGUUGUGAAAACUCGAGGCUCAACCUCGAGACGUCGGCGGAAACCCUCUGGCUAGAGUCCGGAAGAGGAGAGUGGAAUUCCUGGUGUAGCGGUGAAAUGCGCAGAUAUCAGGAAGAACACCAACGGCGAAGCAGCUCGCUGGGACGGUAGCUGACGCUGAUGCGCGAAAGCCAGGGAGCGA